rnacentral:rRNA from 1 species
AUUUUCCACCGUCCGUAAAACGACGCGACGGCCACGGGCAACCCUUUCAAGAACGGCUUUGAGUCCGGCCGCUGGAGGUGACCGGCGACGGCCCUUGUUUGGCUGUCGUGGCAGUUAUACCUGGCCGGUAAUCGAGUACGUCAACCUGCCCAGGCCUCAUGGGCUGCUCCCUUCAGGGAGGCCGAAAACGAUUCCCUCCGGAAGCGGAGCGGGAGACCCGGCUGCAUCAACGGGUCCCCUGCCUUCCGCCAGGUAUUCGCCAGACGUUCCGUAUUGGGCUCAGAACCGGCGAUGCGGGUUCUUCCCGCGGAGGUUUUUGCGUAAAGUUUGGUGGCGAGUAAGUCGGUGACCCACCCGACCCGUCUUGAAACACGGAGCAAGGAGUCUAACAUGUGCGCGACUCAAUGGGUUCCUCAAAACCCAGAGGCGCAAUGAACCUUGAAGGGGCGGCCUCGUGCCGAGCCGAGUUGCAAUCCCGGGCCGCCCAAGGGUCCGAUGAAGGGAGCAGCAUCACGUCGAUGGGGCGGCGCUAGAACGCACACGCUGGCACCCGAAAGAAGGUGAACUAUGCCUGGGCAGGAUGAGGCCAGCGGAAAAUCUUGUGGAGGUCCGAAGCGCUUCUGACGUGCAAAUCAAUAUUCCGCCCCAGGUAUAGGGGCGAAAGACUAAUCGAACCAUCUAGUACCUGGUUCCUUCUGACGUUUCCCUCCGGAUAGCCGGCGCUUGUUGCCGAGACCAGUCACACCUUGUAAAGCGAAUGAUAAGAGGCAUUGGGGUCGAAACGACCUCAACCGAUUCUCAAACUUUCAAUAGGUGUGUCGGAGGUCUUCUGAUCUGAGGCCUCCGGAAGCGAUGAGAGUGCCAAGUGGGCUACUUUUGGUAAGCAGAAUUGGCACUCUGGAAAGAACCGAACGCCGUAGUAAGGCGCCUGAUGUGGGACGCUCAUGAGAUCCCAUGAAGGGUGUUGGUUGCAUAAGACAGCAGGACGGUGGCCAUGGAAGCCGGAACCCGCUAAGGAGUGUGUAACAACUCACCCGCUGAAGCAACUAGCCCAGAAAAUGUGUCGAGCCCAUCCCCGGCCGCUGCCCGCAGAUGCACGCAAACAAGGGGGUGCUAAGCUGCAGCGAGUAGGAGGGCAGCUGAGGUGAGCGUUGAAAGUGUCGGGCGUAAGCCCGCCUGGAGCCGCCACUGGUGCAGAUCUUGGUGGUAGUAGCAAAUACUCAAGAGAGAACUUUGAGGUCUGAAGUGGAGAAGGGUUCCAUGUGAAUAGCAGUUGAACAUGGGUCAGUCGGUCCUAAGGGAAACGACAUGUUCUUUCCUUCCGUAGCGGGAGCACUUUUUUGCAGUGGAGAGAGCCCCGCAGUGACCAAAAGGGAAUCGGGUUAAUAAUCCCGAACCCGGACAUGGAGAUUGGUCCUUCGGGGCCCAGUGCGGUAACGCAGACCACCUCGGAGACGUCGAUGCGAGCCCUCGGAAGAGUUUUCAUUUCUCUGUAAGGAGAUCGAGUCCCUGCAAUGGGUUCUCCUCGAGAUAGGGAUGGUGGCUCCGUAAAGCAUUGCGGCUCUUGCGCUGUCUGGUGCAGUCGCGUCGGCCCUUGAAAAUCCGAGUGAGAGAGUGUGAUUUUCGUGCCGGACCGUACCCUCGUCCGCAGCAGGUCUCCAAGGUGAACAGCCUCUAGUCGAUGGGCUGAUGUAGGUAAGGGAAGUCGGCAAAAUGGAUUCGUAACCUUGGCAUAAGGAUUGGCUCUAAGGAAUGGGUGAGACAUCAUAGUUGCUUGCUUGCGCAGAAAUCCAACUCUCACCUGCUCGUUGUGUCCGCUGCCAGGGGAGUACGCCGAUGAAAGGGAUGCAAUAUCCUGGCUGCUUCUCUGCAAUGAGAACUCUGGUAGGGCCCUUUGCGGGUCCCAGGGUGUUAGGAAUGUCAUUCUCUCGCUCGACUGCGUGGCAUCGCAACCUGGGGAGCCCCAAGAAACUGUGUGUGUUGAAGUUUCCAACCCCUUCGUCCGAAAUCACUUGGCCUGAAAAAUCAAAAGAAAACAAAUCCACGUGCCCGCCGCGAGGCGGGCGUUCCAAGUCAGGCUUUGGUGGUCGCCCCAGACGAAGGUGGCGGUGGGCCGGAUGUGCCCGUGCAGCUUUGGUUUGGCUGCACCGAAUGCGCGAGAAAGUUCGCAUCCCUUCGUGGUCUCAGGGUCCACGCUUCACUCAAGCGGCAUGGCCCACAAGACGGAGUUUUCCGGGUGCCUUGUGACAGUGACAAUGCUUCAACAAUUGACCUUUGUGCAAGUGCCAGUUUUGAACGUCAGGACGCGGGUAUCAGUGGUACCAAGUGCGGGACGCCCACGCAGGACACUCUGUUUCUCUCUACCUCUACCACGUCUUCUCCUUCUCUUCGUCUCUCUCCCCUUCGGGGUAAUGGAAACGCCUGCACACCUUGUGCGCAGUGGUCGGGUGGUUCAAGUGGUGGGGCUGAGCCCGGUCUCUCUGUCGCUUCGGAGGCUGUGCGUGACCCUCAUGUGCCCGUUAAUCGGACGACAUUCAGCAUAUGCCUUCAGUGUUCGAGAGCCUUCAACAAUGUACGUGACUUGUCGCGCAAUCAGUCACAUGCCGAUGCUGAAACAUACAACAAGGAAAUUAACGUGAAAAGAGUUAAGCCAAGGUUUAACGACGAGGAGACUUACCUCCUCGCGAGUAGAGAAGUUCAGGUCAGAACAAAGGUUUACCACAUCAGCCAAGUUCUCUGCUCCCUCUUUCCUUCACGCUCUCUCGAAUCCAUCAAGUCCCACAGGAAGCGACAGAAUUAGCUGGACCUCGUGGCCUCGUUGAGGGCUAGACAGUGUGCUGCCACCAGUGACCU